GAUUAAGUUAUUAAGGGCGCACGGUGGAUGCCUUGGCACUAGAAGCCGAUGAAGGACGUUACUAACGACGAUAUGCUUUGGGGAGCUGUAAGUAAGCUUUGAUCCAGAGAUUUCCGAAUGGGGAAACCCAGCAUGAGUUAUGUCAUGUUAUCGAUAUGUGAAUACAUAGCAUAUCAGAAGGCACACCCGGAGAACUGAAACAUCUUAGUACCCGGAGGAAGAGAAAGAAAAUUCGAUUCCCUUAGUAGCGGCGAGCGAAACGGGAAGAGCCCAAACCAACAAGCUUGCUUGUUGGGGUUGUAGGACACUCUAUACGGAGUUACAAAGGACGACAUUAGACGAAUCAUCUGGAAAGAUGAAUCAAAGAAGGUAAUAAUCCUGUAGUCGAAAAUGUUGUCUCUCUUGAGUGAAUCCUGAGUACGACGGAGCACGUGAAAUUCCGUCGGAAUCUGGGAGGACCAUCUCCUAAGGCUAAAUACUCUCUAGUGACCGAUAGUGAACCAGUACCGUGAGGGAAAGGUGAAAAGCACCCCGGAAGGGGAGUGAAAUAGAACCUGAAACCGUGUGCUUACAAGUAGUCAGAGCCCGUUAAUGGGUGAUGGCGUGCCUUUUGUAGAAUGAACCGGCGAGUUACGAUUUGAUGCAAGGUUAAGCAGUAAAUGUGGAGCCGUAGCGAAAGCGAGUCUGAAUAGGGCGUUUAGUAUUUGGUCGUAGACCCGAAACCAGGUGAUCUACCCUUGGUCAGGUUGAAGUUCAGGUAACACUGAAUGGAGGACCGAACCGACUUACGUUGAAAAGUGAGCGGAUGAACUGAGGGUAGCGGAGAAAUUCCAAUCGAACCUGGAGAUAGCUGGUUCUCUCCGAAAUAGCUUUAGGGCUAGCCUCAAGUGAUGAUUAUUGGAGGUAGAGCACUGUUUGGAUGAGGGGCCCCUCUCGGGUUACCGAAUUCAGACAAACUCCGAAUGCCAAUUAAUUUAACUUGGGAGUCAGAACAUGGGUGAUAAGGUCCGUGUUCGAAAGGGAAACAGCCCAGAC
rnacentral:rRNA from 1 species